GCCCGGGUGGCGGAACUGGUAGACGCGCGGGACUCAAAAUCCCGUAUCCCUUAAAGAUGUGUGGGUUCGACUCCCUCUCCGGGCACCA
rnacentral:tRNA from 1 species